rnacentral:lncRNA from 1 species
AUGGCAAUGUCCUCUGCGGAACAGGCAAAGAGCAGCGCGCGGCGCAGCCAGUGGAGCCGUGGGGAGGAGAGAGCCGAGUUCAAAAGGGGCCGGGGGAACGGUUGCUUGUGCUGCUCGGGAGGGUUCGCGCUCCUUCUCACGCUCUCUGCAAGUUUCUCCCCGUGCAACCCCCCCCGAAGCCCCCCGAGACGCCCCCGAGCCGCUCGGCCACGAGGGCAGGAGCUCGGCGAGCCCGACGGGAAGGGGCCGCGCCGCAGCCAUAGCGCGGCACGAAGCAGGCCAGCAGCGUUUCCACAAAGACAGUUUCUUCCACUGGCUGCAGUUUGGGGCUGCCAAAAGCCAAAACAAGAAUGGAAACAUCCCAUUUCACUGGCCAAAAUUCAACGCAGGUUUUUUUUUUUUUUUGUGUUGUCUUUUUCUUUUUUUUUUUUUUUUUUUUCUUUCCCUCGUCUUUGGUUAGGAACGGAAAUUCCCUGCCAUGAAAACAUGACGAAACCCCAAACCAAAACACAGCUUGGAAUGAAACCUUCGCCCGGGUCCCUGGGGAUGCCGUGCGGGGCAGGUCCCCGGGGCUGGGGGGCUCGGUGCACGGGGGGGACCAAGUCCGGAUGUCGGCGCCAGCGCCGGCCCCACGCGCGGCAGGGGAAGUCGUGCUGGGGGAUCUCUCCAGCGGCCGAUGUGCUUCCCCCUCCGUGCGCCUUUGGGGUGAGGCCACCACUUCCCAUCCCUGCUCUGCGCUGCUGCACCUCGGAAACUGCACGAGGGAGCUGGGGCCGGGCCCGCAGGAGGGCUGCUGUGCACAUGGGGAAGCCAGAGGGAGGUGGGUCCUGCCCGGCCCCGGUGCAGCGCAGCCCCCCCGGGGUGCCCAAGCUCAGGGGGGUGCCGGUUUCUGGCUGUGCUCGGCUCCUCUGCAAAAGCAGCCGCUGGGAACGGGCUCAUCCAUCACGUCCCAGGGUGUUUGGGGCCGGCAGAGCCCCAGGCAUCGCCCCUGCAGCUGCACCCCACCACCGCACCCCGGCGCCGUCCCUUUCCCUGCCCGCGCCCAGCUCUGCUUUCAGCCAGAUGUUCGGCCGCAGGAUGAAACAGCUCUUCCCGCCCCAGCCCCUGCCGUGGCUCUCUCCGGCUCCCGUUCCGGAGGCUGGAUCCGGCCACGCAGGCUGA